AUUGAACGCUGGCGGAAUGCUUUACACAUGCAAGUCGAACGGCAGCACGGACUUCGGUCUGGUGGCGAGUGGCGAACGGGUGAGUAAUGUAUCGGAACGUGCCCAGUCGUGGGGGAUAACGUAGUGAAAAUUACGCUAAUACCGCAUACGAUCUAUGGAUGAAAGCGGGGGAUCGCAAGACCUCGCGCGAUUGGAGCGGCCGAUAUCCGAUUAGGUAGUUGGUGGGGUAAAGGCCCACCAAGCCAACGAUCUGUAGCUGGUCUGAGAGGACGCGCAGCAGCACUGGAACGGAGACACGGUCCAGACUCCUACGGGAGGGAGCAGUGGGGAAUUGUGGACAAUGGGCGAAAGCCUGAUCCAGCCAUUCCGCGUGCAGGAUGAAGGCCCUCGGGUUGUAAACUGCUUUUGUACAAAACGAAAAGGUUUCUACUAAUACUAGGAGCUCAUGACGGUACUGUAAGAAUAAGCACCGGCUAACUACGUGCCAGCCGCCGCCGUAA
rnacentral:rRNA from 1 species